rnacentral:rRNA from 1 species
AUUGAACGCUGGCGGCAUGCCUUACACAUGCAAGUCGAACGGUAACAGGUCUUCGGAUGCUGACGAGUGGCGAACGGGUGAGUAAUACAUCGGAACGUGCCUAGUAGUGGGGGAUAACUACUCGAAAGAGUGGCUAAUACCGCAUGAGAUCUACGGAUGAAAGCAGGGGAUCGCAAGACCUUGUGCUACUAGAGCGGCCGAUGGCAGAUUAGGUAGUUGGUGGGAUAAAAGCUUACCAAGCCGACGAUCUGUAGCUGGUCUGAGAGGACGAUAAGCCACACUGGGACUGAGACACGGCCCAGACUCCUACGGGAGGCAGCAGUGGGGAAUUUUGGACAAUGGGCGCAAGCCUGAUCCAGCAAUGCCGAGUGCAGGAUGAAGGCCUUCGGGUUGUAAACUGCUUUUGUACGGAACGAAAAGCCCUGGGUUAAUACCCUGGGGUCAUGACGGUACCGUAAGAAUAAGCACCGGCUAACUACGUGCCAGCCGCCGCAGUAA